rnacentral:rRNA from 1 species
GUGAGAAUCCCGUCUGGGACGGGGUGUCCGUGCCCGUGUGAAGCUCCUUCGACGAGUCGAGUUGUUUGGGAAUGCAGCUCUAAAUGGGUGGUAAAUUUCAUCUAAAGCUAAAUACUGGCCGGAGACCGAUAGCGCACAAGUAGAGUGAUCGAAAGAUGAAAAGCACUUUGAAAAGAGAGUUAAAUAGCACGUGAAAUUGUUGAAAGGGAAGCGCUUGCGACCAGACUCGCCCGCGGGGUUCAGCCGGCAUUCGUGCCGGUGUACUUCCCCGUGGGCGGGCCAGCGUCGGUUUGGGCGGCCGGUCAAAGGCCCCCGGAAUGUAGUGCCCUUCGGGGCACCUUAUAGCCGGGGGUGCAAUGCGGCCAGCCUGGACCGAGGAACGCGCUUCGGCACGGACGCUGGCAUAAUGGUUGCAAACGACCCGUCUUGAAACACGGACCAAGGAGUCUAACAUCUACGCGAGUGUUCGGGUGUCAAACCCGUGCGCGCAGUGAAAGCGAACGGAGGUGGGAGCCCCCUGAGGGGCGCACCAUCGACCGAUCCUGAUGUCUUCGGAUGGAUUUGAGUAAGAGCGUAAAUGUGGGGACCCGAAAGAUGGUGAACUAUGCCUGAAUAGGGCGAAGCCAGAGGAAACUCUGGUGGGAGGCUCGCAAGCGGUUCUGACGAGCAAAAUCGAUCGUCCAAAUUUGGGUUAUAGGGGGCGAA